rnacentral:rRNA from 1 species
AUGAACGCUAGCGACAGGCUUAACACAUGCAAGUCGAGGGGCAGCAUGAGGUACCGAUACCUUGAUGGCGACCGGCGCACGGGUGAGUAACGCGUAUGCAACCUGCCUGAUACCGGGGUAUAGCCCAUGGAAACAUGGAUUAACACCCCAUAUUACUUUUAUCCUGCCUGGGAUGGGAGUUAAAUGUUCAAGGUAUCAGAUGGGCAUGCGUCCUAUUAGUUAGUUGGCGGGGUAACAGCCCACCAAGACGAUGAUAGGUAGGGGUUCUGAGAGGAAGGUCCCCCACAUUGGAACUGAGACACGGUCCAAACUCCUACGGGAGGCAGCAGUGAGGAAUAUUGGUCAAUGGACGUAAGUCUGAACCAGCCAAGUCGCGUGAGGGAAGACUGCCCUAUGGGUUGUAAACCUCUUUUAUAAGGGAAGAAUAAGUUCUACGUGUAGAAUGAUGCCUGUACCUUAUGAAUAAGCAUCGGCUAACUCCGUGCCAUCAGCCGCGGUAAUACGGAGGAUGCCAGCGUUAUCCGGAUUUAUUGGGUUUAAAGGGUGCGUAGGCGGUUUAUUAACUUAGUGGUUAAAUAUUUGAGCUAAACUCAAUUGUGCCAUUAAUACUGGUAAACUGGAGUACAGACGAGGUAGGCGGAAUAAGUUAAGUAGCGCUGAAAUGCAUAGAUAUAACUUAGAACUCCGAUAGCGAAGGCAGCUUACCAGACAGUAACUGACGCUGAUGCACGAGAGCGU